GACACGCUGGCGGCGUGCCUAACACAUGCAAGUCGAACGGUCCGGCACUCAACCGACCUCAGUCUAACUGUAGGGGAAGUUGAGUGCCGGAUAGUGGCGGACGGGUGAGUAACGCGUGGGCAACCAACCCUGUACAGUGGGAUAACACCGGGAAACCGGUGCUAAUACCGCAUGACACCUAGAUGGUGCAUACUGUUUAGGUUAAAGGGCAAAACCGGUACGGGACGGGCCCGCGUCCCAUUAGCUGGUUGGUGAGAUAACGGCUCACCAAGGCGACGAUGGGUAGCCGACCUGAGAGGGUGGCCGGCCACACUGGGACUGAGACACGGCCCAGACUCCUACGGGAGGCAGCAGUGGGGAAUAUUGCGCAAUGGACGGAAGUCUGACGCAGCGACGCCGCGUGAGCGAAGAAGGCCUUCGGGUCGUAAAGCUCUGUUCUUGGGGACGAAUAAAAUGACGGUACCCAAGGAGAAAGCCCCGGCUAACUACGUG
rnacentral:rRNA from 1 species